CGUGGCUCUCGCGCGCAUCCCUCCCGCUUCUCCUUUUCCUCCCAGGGAAUGCCCGUUAUUUAUGUCCGCAUUAGGAGGAGACCUAUCACAAUACUCAAGUGGCCUUUAUAUCCUUGUUGUUGUUGUUAGGGUCACCAUUACAAUACUAUCACAAUACGACUGGGGAAGGCGCGAGACAAAAGCCCAUCCUUUCCCCACCUCCCCCCCCCGGCUGCCUUUGGUUUGCUCCACUCGGGGCAAAGAGCGGUAAUCUCCUCGUUGCAAUCCUUGGACCCAACCAUAGCAGAAGAGAGGGAGAGAGGGCGGAGGCGUGACAGCUGCGCGGGUGGGGGUAGGGAGGGGGCAUGUGCGCCGAGGGCCCCAUCUGCCUGCCAUGACGCAGCCCUUCCCUCCCUUAUGGCGAGGGUCCCUUUAAGAGCAGCGCGUGAGCAGGAAUGCCGGCAGGUGUGACGAUGAGCCCCUUCAAGGAAGUCAUUAGUAGAGCUUCGCAUUGCAAGACUGCAGUUGAUGAACAAAUGCGCAGACUGAGCAUAGGCGGGCAGCGUAGGUUAACAGGACAACAUAGAGACCAAUCCUACUUCUACCCUCAUCAAGUCUCUCAAGAGGUUCUGCUUCAGACAGCGAUGGGGAACUUUUGCACCUCCUGAUAUUGUUGAACUGCAACUCACUUAUUUCCUUUCUUUUGGCUGUGAUUGUUAGAACUGAUGAGGGUUACAGUCCAAAACUGUGUUGUGGUGAGUUAUGUUUAUAUAUCCCAGCACAGGGAUUAUAUUUAUCCUGUUACACUAUCUGGAUCAAUGUUUCUACUCUUUCCACAAAAAGCUUCGUUUGGUACAGUGAGUCAGUAGUUACAGCUGACAACAGCCUGAAGUUUUUGUGUAGGAAUACAGAUUUGAGUAGGUUUAGACAAGACAAUAAAGUUAUGCAAAUAUCACAAUGCCUUUACUUGUGUGCGCAGUUGCACACAUCUGUGCUGAUUCCAUCCUAGCCCACCAGGAGGAGGCAAAGAACCAUUCCUCCAGAGGACUUCUGAAAAGUAUAGGUUAUCAAAAGAUAAACUGGUGGAAAGUGAAGCAUGAAAGUCCCUUCCUACUCUAAUGCAAGCAUAAGAAAGGUGUGAUCCCUGAAGCUUUCUCUUCUCCAGAAUCCUAAACUUGUAAAGAUGUGUGUGUAUUUGAUUUGUUUCCACAUAGUGAAAAUAAAAGUUUUACUCUCUCCUGCCCCUACAGUCACCCAAGACAUCUCAAAAGGAAGCUUAGUCUGUCAAAAAUGGAUCCAGAAAUCAUGUUUUUUUCAGCAUGUUAAUGUAGUUGUUGGAGGGAGGGGUGUGUGAUAUACAUGUGAAUAAAUUACCUUCAACUUGGCUCAGGCCUUGUUUACAUCAGCCACUUAAUCUUGGCCUAGGCUGGUGCAUUGCGCUCGGGCCCUGAAUCGAAGAUGAUGCCACACACACUUAGCUGAACCCUCUGUAGUGCUGUCCAGAUGAUCAGGAGGUAGGGAAUGACUGCAUCAGCCAUCAUCUUGUAUUUUGCAUUGCUGCCACUGCUUCCUGCCAGCCAUAGAGCUCCCUGAGAGCAUCUAGUCUUCAUGGUUGCAUGUGCUCAGGUCAUAACGGAGCAUCUGUGUGAUCACUAAGGAGGGUAUAGAGUUGCAUUCAGCAGAUGUGACUGCAAUGGCCAGGAGCUCACAGGGAGCUCCAUGACCGACAGGGAGCAGUGGCAGUGACAUAGGUGCGCUGAUGAGUACAGAGAAAAGGUGAUGGCAAUUCAUCCAUGUGGACCAUGGAGUCGGGCACAAUCCAGCUGUCCAGAUGGUUACAAAGCCUGAAGAUAAUCCAGAGUUUUCCCCAGCUUUGCAUAAAAACAGAGCAAAUUUGGGUUAAAGGCAACAAACCCAGAAUACUUUCUAGAAAUUCUCAUGUGUUGUGAAGACUGUCAAUUCCGAAUUUGGAGUGAGUAUGGUUUUUUCCUCCUAUGUAGACAUAGCCUCAGUUCCCCAUUCCUAUUGUAAUGGAAAGUGAUUCAUCAUUCUAUUUAUUCUUUUUUUUCGUGUCAGGAGCAACCUAAGUUGCUACUAGUGUGAGAGAAUUGGCCGUCUGCAAGGACGUUGCCCAGGGGACGCCUAGAUGUUUUUGAUGUUUUUACCAUCCUUGUGGGAGGCUUUUCUCAUGUCCCCGCAUGGAGCUGGAGCUGAUAGAGGGAGGUGGGAUUCGAACCUGGUAGCCUUCAGGUCAGCAACCCAACCUUCAAGUCACAAGGGUUUAACCCACUACUCCACCGGGGGCUCUAUUUAUUCUGAGAGGGUGCAUUGAAAGAAUUUAUCUGAAAAUCAGAUGCAGUCCAUGUGCACUGUGCAUGUAUUUCUUUUAGGCUUAUGUUGGUCAUCUGCCUAUACAAACAGCAGGAAAUAGGAAUAGUUGUAAAACCGCACUUGCCUUUUGUGUCAUUUGUUUUAGGAUGCUACCAUAGGUAUAUCCUUGAAAGAAGCAUAUUGUUGUACUCAUCCUACAUCUUUGAGUGGUGGUAUGUUCUAAGGCCCCAUCUACACUGGCAGUGUAGAUUCAUAUAAUGCAGUUCAAUGCAGUUAAACUGCAUUCUGAAACUCAUUAUAUGUCAGUGUAAAUUUCAGCUGUUCAAAAACUCCAAUUAGUUCAAAACAUGUAUCAAUUAAAAUAAAUAAAUAAAAAGAGACAAAAACAAACAAACAUGGCAGCCAGAUUAGUUACAGGGACAUCUAGAAGUGAGCAUAUUAUACCCAUAUUAAAGUAACUCCACUGUUUACCAAAAUUUUUCUGGACAAACUAUAAAAUAUUGGUAUUGACCUUUAAAGUCCUAUAUGGUUUGGGUCCAGGUUACCUAUAGGAUUGCCUUCUCUCAUACAGUUUGCUCUUUAGGACACAGGUCCUUGGGUAGAUGCUUACUCCAGUCAGUCAGAACCUGACUGGUGGCCAUCACCCAGAGGACCUUUUCAUCGACUGCCCCACAACCGUGGAAUGACCUGCCAGAAGAGCUCCAACAGUUAAACAAGAAUUUAAAACACAGUUGGAGGCCCGUCUUUUUUGGCAGGCCUACCAGUCAACUUUCAGUCAUGAGUUUUGAUUUACAUUCUAUUGCUUCUAUAUGUCGGUUCAAUAUCAGUAUUAGGUGCAAGUUUUUAAAAAUGUUUUUGUGUUUUUAUCUAUGUCAUUUAUUGUAUAUAUUUUAUGUUCAUAUGUUUUUGACUUUGUUGUACCCCACCUUGAGCCAUCAGGAGAGGUAGGUAAUAAAUAAAAUCUAUUAGUACUAUUACUACUAUUACUACCACCACUACUACUACUAGUAGCAUUAGAUGGGGCCUAAGAGUGCGACACACUUAAUCAACCAUCUUUGUUUCACUGGAUGCUUAUGGCAUUUUGCAAUGUCCGUAUUUACUUAGAAAUAUACUGGUUAACACAGGUAUGCUUUUGGCGAUCUCCCUGUCUCCUUUGGUCAUCUACCCUAACAAAGAAUAUACCUGUUGAUGCCGUUCUGUAUUUUCUAGCCCCCUUCUUUCCAGCCCAAGUCCCAAAAAUCUCAACAACUACAUGAAACACGCACACAUACUGCAUCCAACUAUUGUUAUGUAUAACUAUUUUACAUGUUCCUGUUAUAUGUAUUGGCAUAUGCACAUAUUUAUACCUUUUAACUCAAUUUGACACAAUGCAUUUUUUGUGUUACUGAUGGGCACAACCCACAUAGGUAACAAGUUCCAAUAAAAGUUUUACACAUAGAGAUGACAGUUUUCUCACGGCAGUGCAGCCAAACAUGCCAAAUCCAUUCAGGAAGCUACUUCUUCCAAGAAGAUUCCAUUGCAAUGCAAUACUUCACAAAAUAUUUUAAUAAUGAUUAUAUGCACCCAGCUAGCACAGCUUGAUUCAGUAGUCAAAAUACAGCUCACCCUCCAUAUCCAUGAAUUCAGCCAUUCAAGGCUUGAAAACAUUUGUCUCCCUCCAAAAAAAAUUACCCUUGAUUUUUCCAUGUCAUGUAAGGGAUAGUAUUUUGCUAUGCUACUGCAUAUGAUGGGACUUGACCAUCCACAUUUUUAGUAUCUAUGGGGGCCCUGGAACCAAACCCAGUGAAUACCAAGAGUCUGUUGUAAUUGUUGAAGGCUUUCAUGGCUAGAAUCAUUGGGUUGCUGUGAGUUUUUUGGGUUGUAUGGCCAUGUUCCAUGUUCUGUUGUGAUAAUUUUUGUUCUGUUCUAAUAGGUGUUGAAAUGCAAAUUAGCUUGUGCUGUCACAAAUUGGUAUAGUACUAUAUAUAAUUAAAUAUUAGAAUGGCUGUACACAUGAAUAUGUGGAAAAUAAAAACAAUCUAUGCCCAAUGCUGUAAAUGUUGCAAGUAUAGGAACAGAUAACAUUCAAUUGAAUGAAUGGUAAGAGCCACCAGGUGGCAUCCAGCUUCUAUUAGAUUGGUAACAGCCUGGAUGAUCAUUGUAUAUCUCAAAGUGAAGAUUCAAGCCAUUCCUUUUAGUAGUGUCUUUCUGAAUUACGCUUGAUUUCUGAUCAUUUAAUAAAUAAAUAAAACAGGAACUUUAGUACUCUGGCCCACAUAUUCCAGAGAUCCCUCUCAGCUAAAGCUACUGCAGUGUUUCCCUUCUAAUGUUACCAUAUUUUAUUGGAUAUUUUUCUUCACCAGAACCAGUAACCAACCAACCUGUUUCUAUUUGAUGUUUUCCCACUCUUGGUCUUUAUACCUUACCAUCUUUUGGAAGGUUUGAAUAUGAAUCUUUUUUCCUCAGUUUUUAGAAUUCAGUGCCAUAGUGUUAUAUGCAUUGACAUCCCAGUCCUUGUUUACUGACUUCAGUAAUAUUUUCCUAAGCAAUUGAAUGCUUAGACUACAGCGAGUUAACAGUCUGAUUUAAGUGCUGUCACUGGUAUUGUUUGCCACCAUGAAGUCUGUAGAACCUAAAGGAGCUCAGUUUGUAUUUUGGUGUAUAUUUUUAUCAUUUGUAUUUGGUCAGCUAUAUAAAUCAAAGCAGUUUUCACAGUCUGAUUGAAAUUUAUUCAAAGAAAUUUAGACAACGAUGAAAAGGACCUUCUCUUGGGAUAGAGCACCUGCUUUGUACUGAGAAACAACUACCAAAUUUAGUCCACUGAACUUCCUAAAAACUAUUUGCAGGUAAUACCUCAUCACCCUUUAAGUCAGUGGUUCUCAACCUGGGGUCCCCAGAUGUUUUUGGCCUAUACCUCCCAGAAAUCCCAGCCAGUUUUCCAGCUGUUAGGAUUUCUAGAAGUUGAAGGUCAAAACAUCUGGGGACUCCAGGUUGAGAACCACUGCUCUAAGUGUUCUGGUAUAAGCACAGUGAAAGAUAUGUCAGAGUUGGAGCAAGAGUAACCAGUGCUACGCUUCCCUCAAAUAGCAGACAAACAAUUUGUUUCAAUCUGAGAUAUGCUUCUAGUUAAUCUAGCAUGCUGUAAGGGCCCUGUGCAAUUUUUAGAUAGCUUGUGGAAGGAAAUGUCUGGAUGGACUUAGUCUGGAAGGAGAUGGAAAUUCCCUGGAAGGAAGAUGGUCUGUGACUGAGAGCUUUCAGCUGAAGAUAAAGCUGACUGGACCAACAACUGCACUCACUACCUGUAGAGUUGUAUGUGCAUCCUACCACUUGUAUCCAGAUGCCCCCUCAUCAAAUCUCCCCUGAUGAAUCCUUGCUAAUUUUAGAGGGAUGGGUUCCUGAUGCUCCUACUGCUACCAAACCGACUCAUAAAAACCAUAAGGCAUAAUAAAUAAAUGAUGUGUAAAGGUUUGAAUCUGCAAAGCAAUGAUAGCAAACAUUAGUUUAAAACAUUAACCAUAUGCAACAUACAGACAAUGUUGCACUUUAGCUAGAACAGUGGGUCUCAAUCUUGUGCUCCCAGAAAAGCCCCAGCCUGUAUAACCAAUGAUCAAAAGAUUCUGGGGGGGGGGGGGGGAGGAGAGGGGUGCAAUUGCUUGAGUUCAACUGACAACUACACAGAAGCUGUGUGUGAUCUUAUGGCUUUUAAUGAAAAACUGUUCAAAGAACUGCCACUUUCAUUGGAGGAGGUCAGCUUCAUUUUUCUUCCUUCAUUGUGAGGAAAAGGCAGCUUUAUUUUCCAAGGAGAUUGUUUCAUUUUUAUUUGCUUUUCAUAUAAAUACACUUUACAAAAGCAUAACAGUAAUCUAAAGUUCAUCCAGAGGUUGAUAUUUACAACUAAUUCAACUGGGAGAAAAAGGAGUCAAGCAGUUUCUUAUCUUCAUAGAAGAUGGAGCUGACUGUAGCAUAAUGGGUUAAACCCUUGUGCCAGCAAGAAUGUUGACCAAGAGGUUGGCGGUUCAAAUUUGGGGAGCGGGUGAGCUCCCUCUGUCUGCCGGGACAUAAGAGAAGCCUCCCACAAAGGAUGGUAAAACAUCAAAACAUUUGGCCAUCCCCUGGGCAUCAUUCUUCCAGACAGACAAUUCUCACACCAGAAGUGACUUGCAGUUUCUCAAGUCACUUCUGACACACACACACACACACACACACACCCAUAGAAGAUGAGACCCACUUCAUCCUUUUAGAUCCAAACUUCUUAAACGUUUUCCACUUGUGGCCACUUUCUGUCCAAGAAUAUUUUACUUGACUCCAGGUACAUAUAAAAUAGGUGUCAAGGGUGCUUUGAUUGUGUUUUUCUGCAAAGCAGGGGAUUGGACUGAAUGGCCCUUGUGGUCUCUUCCAACUCUAUGAUUCUAGGUAUAAAAAAACAAGCAUUCAUGAUAAUAAGUCAUCAUUUGCAAAGCUUGCUAAACAGGCUGAUGUCCCUUUUUGUGGGGUACAGCUGAAGCAUUUGAGUCAGUUAAGUUAAGGCCAGUGUGUUUGGUUUUCCUGUCUCUUGAGCAAUGACAUCUUGCAGUUGUACUCAAGCUGAGCACGAGUUUUCUUCUAACUGCCAUUGAGGCAGGAGUUUGUCAAGUUACGUAAACUCCUGCUAGGAGGACUCAACACCUCUGGAGUUCAGCCUAGUCUGCUUUUGUUAUGUUUUCAUAAACUUGCAAUGAUUCAGACAUCCCAAAGAGCUCAAAGGCAGCACAGAGGAUUAAAAGGAGAAUUAGCUUCUUCUGAAAAUGUAGUCCUUAGUUGCAAAUGUUGAGGUCUUUUGAAAAUAAUUGCUAGGUCACUUGGCACUGAGAUCAGAUCAUGCACUGUUUCUCUAUCCUGAUAAGAAUUCAGAUGAAAGACAUUCAGAUAAGAGUGGAAUGAAAUGCUUAACUGCCUUUGUAACUUUAUUGAACUUGACUACUUCAUCCCAUUCCAUUUAUAUAACAUCAUAGCAAUUCUCUGGUGCUGCCUGAACAGACACUGAGACAAGGUUACUUGGGGCGCUUCCAGACAGGCCCUAUAUCCCAGGAUCCGAUCCCAGGUUUUCUGUGUAUCCCCGAUUAUCUGGCAGUGCGGUCUCAUAUAAUUCAGUUUAAAGCAGAAAACCUGGGAUCAGAUCCUGGGAUAUAGGGCCUGUCUGGAAGGGCUCUGAGUGUUGAAUUCACAAGGCGACUUUGAUUAUUUAAGAGGCUAUUCUAAUUUUUUUAAAUGAAAGAACUUUGACUUUCACUCCUGAAACUGGCCAUGCAAAGUAUUACGCCAAUUUGCUAAUGUGUAUGUGUGUGUGUAAAAGAAAUCCCUUGAAAGAUUCUUGCAAAGAAAGAUCUCUGCAAAGGGAGCUCAGCUCUUUGCAGAGAGAGAAGCCACGCCUAAAACAAUGUAUUGUUUUGAGAGCAGGUGGCUGAAAUUGUCAAGUUGGAAUUUGAGCUUGCUAGAGAGAGCACACAAGAAGACUGGCUCUCUAAAUAGCUACGGUCAAGUGGCUGAUUUAAAUAUGCUAUGCUGUAUAUAUUUUGAAUGCUGAUUUAUUAGUUAUUUACUUUAUGCAACUACAAGGACAUUGUAAGAUUGCUGAACUGUUUUAUUUGUAUUUCAACUCUACAAGUAAAGUUUCCUUUGUUCUGUUCAA